AGUGCAACAGAGAGCAAACCGCCGAUGGCCCGCGCAAGCGGGAUCAGGUAAGGGUGAAAGGGUGCGGUAAGAGCGCACCGCGCGACUGGCAACAGUUCGUGGCACGGUAAACUCCACCCGGAGCAAGGCCAAAUAGGGGUUCACAUGGUACGGCCCGUACUGAACCCGGGUAGGCUGCUUGAGCCAGUGAGCGAUUGCUGGCCUAGAGGAAUGACUGUCCACGACAGAACCCGGCUUACCGGUCAACUCCCUCU
rnacentral:RNase_P_RNA from 1 species